CUUCACCACUUCACGGAUUAAUAUCAACCUGAGAGACUUUAUCUUCGUCCGGACUGUUUAGGUCUAACAAAUCCGCGACAGAGGACAAUGUUUCUCCUGCAGUACACGGGGCUCAGCGCUCUGCCCUUUGACCCCACGGCCGGCAACGACCCUCUCCACUUCGGCAGCUCCAACGGGCCGCUGACUGAGUCUCCUUCCCUGGAAAACACUGCUGAAAACAGCAAGAAGAGGAAGAUAACUGGUCUGACUUCAGACGCCAACAUGAACAUGGCUCCUAACUCCAUGGCGAUGCCCAUGUCAGACCCCAGCAUCUGGACACAAGCCAUGAGCAGCCUGGGGAUGCCUCCGCUAAACAUGACGGGACAGCAGCUGAUACCAGAUUUUGACCCCAGUCUCGGGCUGAUGACUGGCAUUACCCCGAUAAAUCCCAUGAUGCCCGGCCUGGGCCUGGCUCACCCGCCCCUAUCCCAGGAUGCACCAGUUGUCAAGGAGAUCAUCCACUGCAAUAGCUGCACGCUGUUUCCUCCCAACCACAGUUUGACCGACCUUCUGCCUCCGGCCACGAGGGAACGCCCUCCUGGGUGUAAGACGGUGUUUGUUGGCGGUCUGCCCGAGAACUUCACUGAGCAGCUCAUCGUGGAGGUCUUUGGACAGUGUGGGGAUAUUGCUGCAAUCAGAAAGAGCAAGAAAAACUUCUGCCAUAUUCGAUUUGUUGAGGAGUUCACUGUGGACAAGGCUCUUCUCCUCUCUGGUUACCGUAUCCGUUUGGGCUCCAGCACAGACAAAAAAGACUCGGGCCGCCUCCACGUGGACUUCGCCCAGGCCAGAGACGACUUGUACGAGUGGGAGUGUCACCAGCGCAUGUUGGCCAGAGAGGAGAGGCACCGGCGCAAAAUAGAGGAGGAUCUCUUCCGACCCCCCUCUCCUCCUCCCAUCGCCCACUACUCUGAGCACGAGUGUAGUGAGCUUGGAGACAGGAUCAAAGAGGAUGGCAAGUUUCCUGAAGCAGUGCGUGUGCUGUUGACCUGGCUGGAGAGAGGGGAAGUCAACCGAAGGAACGCCAACAACUUCUACUCCAUGAUCCAGGCGUCCAACGGCCACAUCCGCCGGCUGACGGGCGAGAAGAGUCAGCAUGAGAAUGAGGUGGAAGAGGCCAAAGACAAGUUCAAGACUGCGAUGGUCACCAUUCUUGGUCAAUUUGAACAGAUUGUGUCUGUAUUCCACGCUGCGUCCAAACAAAAGGCAUGGGACCAUUUCUCCAAAGCGCAACGGAAGAACCUGGAUUUAUGGCGCACCCAGGUGGAGAAGAUUAGAAACAUGCACAAUGAGCAGCUGAUGGGCAUCAGGGGAGAAGAGGAGAUGGAAAUGUCUGACGAUGAUAUGGAGGACUGCUCUGCUACCAACAGCAAAGACUCUGAGGACUCAGGUGUUUCCCAAGCGGAAGCCUUGAAGGAGGAGAACGACUCUCUGCGCUGCCAGCUGGACGCCUACAGGAACGAGGUGGAGCUGCUCAAACAGGAACAAGGCAAGAAUCAACCAAUGAUCAGCGAGGAGGACAACACACGCUCUCAGCAGCUUAGCUUCCUGCAGCAAGCUCUGCAGGGCAUGCAGAAGCAACUGCUGAGGAUGAGAGACGAGCUGAUGGAGCGAGAGGUAGAGCUACAGAAGAGUAUCGAAGAAAAACAACAACUCAAGAACCAAAUCCAUGACCUCAAGUCAGGACUGCACAACCUGCAGCCUACACACACAUCACAGCCGGAGACGUUGAACCAAGAUCACAGAUGGAGCGAACAGAGUGCUAAUCAAGUCAGUGAUGUAACGGCAUCAUCAGUGGUGUCGUGCAGUCAGGACAAGGAAGCUCUUCCAGAGAAGAAUCCACUGAGUCCUGUAAACUCUGAGAGGGACGCACUUCUCAUCGGGAUCAUUUCAACCUUCCUGAACGUCCACCCGUUUGGAGCCAGUAUGGAGUACAUCUGUUCCUACCUGCAGCGCUUGGACACCAAGAUUAACACCAGUGAGGUGGAGGCUCUUCUCUCUCGGCUGCCCUGCACCUUCAGGCAGGAGCUGAGCGGAGUCGGAGCGAGUCUGGAGAAACGAUGGAGCUUCUGCGGCUUCCAGGGCAUCAAGAGCACAUAAACUCUGCCGGAGACGCUUCUGAGAAGAGGGAGAGAUGACAGGCCACACAGAAUUAUCCCAGCUUAUUGUGCUGGAUGAUAUAAAUCUGCCUCAUUGUUUCUGUUCUGUAUGUCAGCCAAGUCUGAUCCCAAACCCUGCUGAAGACGAGCAUCUACUGCCAUCUAUUGGAGACACUAAACAGAAGAGCUUCACACCCUCGGGUCAAUAACGGCUGGCGUUGUGCUGUGUGCGACGGUAUUUAAGAAAAUGCUCUCCUGUUACCUGCUGUAUCGACUGAUGGCACAUUGCAUUUUAUAUUGAGGACAAUCAGUACAAUGAAACAUUUGCAUUUAGUUCCUUAAAGGGGCUUUAUUUGUGUAACAACAGUUUGAUUUAAUCCAAACAUUACAGUGCACAGAACAUAUUUUUUAUACAAACAUACUUUAUCAUGUCAUGUGUCUCCUCAGAAUGAAAAUAGCAGUUAUUCACAGAUAAACAACUAGAAUAUAUAUGUUCAACAUCUGUGUUGUUGACACACUUUGUCAAGGUGUGGUGACACUUCACCCUACAUGUUAUCAACUGUUUCUUUAAAUGAUCAUGUAUAUUCCACAGUGGUAAAAUACUGUAACCCCCUCAUCCACAUUGCACUUUACACACACACCAAGCAGCUCUAUCAAACACAUGAUGCCAACAUUAUUUGAAAUUAUUAACAUGUUUUUUAAACAUUACAACCAUUUCAGUCAAGUUACCAGCUAAGAGCAGGGGGGUAUACUACGAAGCAGGAUUUUCGCUUAGCUGGCUAAAUUCAGGGAAAACUCCGGCUUUCCGGUCCUACGAAGCUGGUUCUAUUUUUAGCAGGCUAGAUCUCCAUGGUAACUUAUGCUUAGUGGCUAA